GACGAACGCUGGCGGCGUGCUUAACACAUGCAAGUCGAACGGUGACGAUCAAGCUUGCUUGGUCUGAUCAGUGGCGAACGGGUGAGUAACACGUGAGUAACCUGCCCCAGACUCUGGGAUAACCCCGGGAAACCGGAGCUAAUACCGGAUAUGACAUGCCCCUGCAUGGGGAGUGUGUGGAAAGUUUUUCGGUCUGGGAUGGACUCGCGGCCUAUCAGCUUGUUGGUGAGGUAAUGGCUCACCAAGGCGACGACGGGUAGCCGGCCUGAGAGGGCGACCGGCAACACUGGGACUGAGACACGGCCCAGACUCCUACGGGAGGCAGCAGUGGGGAAUAUUGCUCAAUGGGCGAAAGCCUGAUGCAGCGACGCCGCGUGAGGGAUGACGGCCUUCGGGUUGUAAACCUCUUUCAGCAAGGAAGAAGCGCAAGUGACGGUACCUGCAGAAGAAGCACCGGCUAACUACGUGCCAGCAGCCGCCGUAAGAC
rnacentral:rRNA from 1 species